CAUAUACUCCCUCCGUCUGAAAAUACUUGUCAUCGAAAUGAAUAAAAAAGGAUGUAUCUAGAACUAAUAUACAUAUAGAUACAUUCCCUUUUAUUCAUUUUGAUGACAAGUAUUUCUAGAUGGAGGGAGUAUAAU
rnacentral:pre_miRNA from 1 species